rnacentral:rRNA from 1 species
AUUGAACGCUGGCGGCAGGCCUAACACAUGCAAGUCGAGCGGAUGAAGGGAGCUUGCUCCUGGAUUCAGCGGCGGACGGGUGAGUAAUGCCUAGGAAUCUGCCUGGUAGUGGGGGAUAACGUCCGGAAACGGGCGCUAAUACCGCAUACGUCCUGAGGGAGAAAGUGGGGGAUCUUCGGACCUCACGCUAUCAGAUGAGCCUAGGUCGGAUUAGCUAGUUGGUGGGGUAAAGGCCUACCAAGGCGACGAUCCGUAACUGGUCUGAGAGGAUGAUCAGUCACACUGGAACUGGGACACGGUCCAGACUCCUACGGGAGGCAGCAGUGGGGAAUAUUGGACAAUGGGCGAAAGCCUGAUCCAGCCAUGCCGCGUGUGUGAAGAAGGUCUUCGGAUUGUAAAGCACUUUAAGUUGGGAGGAAGGGCAGUAAGUUAAUACCUUGCUGUUUUGACGUUACCAGCAGAAUAAGCACCGGCUAACUUCGUG